UAUAUUAAAGUUGUUGCAGUUAAAAAGCUCGUAGUUGGAUUUCGGAAGGUCCUUAGUAAUCCGCCCCUUCGGGGAGCGGGUUGCUGGCCUCCUAUGUUCCUAACGGUCCUCAUCCGCGAGGGUGGGGAAUCAACCGCUAGGAUCGUUUACUUUGAGGAAAUUAGAGUGUUCAAAGCAGGCGUAACUCGCCUCCGAAUACGUUAGCAUGGGAUAAUGGAAUACGACUUCGGUCUUGUUUCGUUGGUUUCGCUUGGCUGAAGUAAUGAUUGAUAGGGACAGUUGGGGGCAUUAGUAUUUAGUUGUCAGAGGUGAAAUUCUAGGAUUUACUAAAGACUGACCAAUGCGAAAGCAUUUGCCAAGGAUGUUUUCAUUAAUCAAGAACGAAAGUAGGGGGAUCGAAGACGAUCAGAUACCGUCGUAGUCUCUACCGUAAACUAUGCCGACCAGGGAUCCGGAGAGUUUGCAUGGAUGACUCCCCGGGCACCUUGUGAGAAAUCAUAAGUGUUUGGGUUUUGGGGGGAGUAUGGUCGCAAGGCUGAAACUUAAAGGAAUUGACGGAAGGGCACCACCAGGAGUGGAACCU
rnacentral:rRNA from 1 species